rnacentral:rRNA from 1 species
UACGUAGGGUGCAAGCGUUGUCCGGAAUUAUUGGGCGUAAAGAGCUCGUAGGCGGUCUGUCGCGUCGGCUGUGAAAUCCCGAGGCUCAACCUCGGGUCUGCAGUCGAUACGGGCAAACUAGAGUAUUGCAGGGGAGACUGGAAUUCCUGGUGUAGCGGUGAAAUGCGUAGAUAUCUGGAGGAACACCGGUGGCGAAGGCGGCAUCCUGGACCGGUAUUGACGCUGAGGCGCGAAAGCCAGGGGAGCAAACGGG